UUGAGAUCGUGGUUGGGAUAGGGAAACAACGGCGCGAUUGGGAUUCGGAAGAUGGGGUCGAGCUGUUCUGUUGAGACGAUGUGUUAACGUGUCGAUUGCUAAAGUUCGAGCUGGUGGCAGUGUUGUUUUGUGCUCAUUGGGAGAAGGGUUUGUCCAUCGCCAUGCAAGCUCGAGACCCCAUAGCUCCUCAACCUGUACUGCCGUUGUUGGCUCGUUCUGCUCCUAACUGUUGUUCUUCUUUGCUGAUGGUACUGCGUCGUACUGCGUAUCAAGGGCCCCACCACCAUUCAUCAGUGAUCAAUGAUAUCUCAUUUCUCCUUUUAGUUCAUAUUUCCGUUUUUGGGAGGACUCUGAACUCUUUUUUUUCUCUCCUUUUCACGAAGAAUGUCUCUUCCAUGAUGUUAUUGCUCUUUCUUUCUUUCUUUUGUUAGUUAGUUCGUUCGUUCGUUAGUUAGUUAGUUAGUUCGUUCGUUCGUUCGUUCGUUCGUUCGUUCGUUCGUUCGGUUGUUCGUUCGUUCGUACAUGUUAUUUGUGAUUAUAUAGAAAAGAAAAAGAAAAAGGAAAAGAAAAGAAAAAAAGAGACGGUAGCAAAAGAUUCGCAAACAUUCUCAAUGUCGAGUUACGGAAAUAAUCUCAUUGGGAUUCAAUAAAAAUUGCUUAGUUAACAAUGCAAAGGAAAGGAAAACGAAUCCCCUGUCAAUUGAUGAUUCGUUGUAUAAAAGGAAAGAAAAAAAAAGACAAUAAGAAAUAUAAUAUUGGAUUGGAACAAGUGCUUCAAGCUUUCCAUUUUAAGAUUAUUAUUAUUAUCAUUAUCGAAUAUUGAAAUGAGUAUAAAGGAUGAGAAAAAGAGAAAAAAUCAUAACGCG